rnacentral:rRNA from 1 species
UACGUAGGGGGCAAGCGUUGUCCGGAAUUAUUGGGCGUAAAGAGCGCGUAGGCGGUCCGAUAAGUCGGCUGUGAAAGUCAAGGGCUCAACCCUUGGAAGCCGGCCGAUACUGUCGGACUAGAGUCCGGAAGAGGCGAGUGGAAUUCCCGGUGUAGCGGUGAAAUGCGCAGAUAUCGGGAGGAACACCAAUUGCGAAGGCAGCACUCUGGGACGGUACUGACGCUGAGACGCGAAAGCGUGGGGAGCAAACAGG